CCUUCUUUCCGGACACUAAUUCUACUCUUAACUGAGCGGAAUUGGGAGACGGAUCGCUUACUUUGAAAAAAUCAGAGUGUUUCAAGCAGGCAGCUCGCUCUUGCAUGGAUUAGCAUGGGAUAAUGAAAUAGGACUCUGGUGCUAUUUUGUUGGUCUCGAACACCGGAGUAAUGAUUAACAGGGACAGUCAGGGGCACUCGGAUUCCGUCGAGAGAGGUGAAAUUCUCAGACCAAUGGAAGACGAACCACUGCGAAAGGAUUUGCCAGGGAUGUUUUCACUGAUCAAUAACGAAAGUUAGGGGAUCGAAGACGAUCAGAUACCGUCGUAGCCUUAACCAUAAACCAUGCCGACUAGGGAUUGCAGGGUGUUCUAUUCGACCCCUUCAGCACCUUACGAGAAACUAAAGUCUUUGGGUUCCGGUGGGAGUAUGGUCGCAAGGCUGAAACUUAAAGGAAUUGACGGAAGGGCAC
rnacentral:rRNA from 1 species